AAAAAGAAAGAGGAAGAGAAAGAGAUCUCCAUAGCCUCACUUCAAUAAUCCUCACAAAACAAUCCUCGUAUCUUUGUUUUGUGAGGGUGUGAGGAGAGAAAUCUCUUUUCUUUUUCUUUUCUUUUCUUUAUCUUUUCUAUUCUCUCUGUCAUUUUGAAAGAGCAGAGAGAAACAUAUAUAUUUAUCAAUUUCUUGUUUCCGAAGGAUAAAGAACCCAAGGAAGGAAGUGAUCUUUCCAACUCUUCCUCUCUAAACACAGAGGAGGUGCUUGGAGUCUGAAAGGAAAAAUGGAUGGGAUAUGUGACAAGAAAGGGCAUCCAGUACCACCCCUAUUACCUGGUCCGGCGACUACCAGCAGCUACCAUCGAAGGCAAUUAAUGAUGGAUGGCAAAACAUUAAGAGGACAUAGCAGUGUCUCUACCAGAACCAAGGAUAUGUGGGAACGCUUGUUUGAUGAAGGCUAUAGAGCAGAUGUUACAAUUAAUACCGACAAGGGUGGCUCCAUCUAUGCGCAUGCCAAUAUUCUUGGCAUGGCUUCUCCUGUCAUAAAAGGCCUGUUAAAGCAAGCAAAAAGCCGAACUCGACAACGAUCAAUCUCAAUUCGGGGCGUUCCUCAUGACGCUGUUCGAGUUUUUAUUCGAUUCUUAUACUCUUCUUGGUAUUAAUUAAUUAUUUUCCUCAUGGAUCCUUAUCGAAUAGAUUAUUGAGAUGCUUCCUUUCUUAUUAAUCUGAUAUAUUUAUGUUGUUCGGGCAGUUACGAGAAAGAUGAAAUGGAGGAAUUUGUGCUACACUUGUUGGUGCUCUCACAUGUUUUUGUGGUUCCAGAGUUGAAGAAAAUAUGCGUGCACAAGUUAGAGCAAAGUUUUCUUACAACCGAAAACGUAGUUGACAUCUUUCAGCUUGCGUUAUUGUGCGAUGCUCCUAGGCUUAGCCUCAUUUGUCACCGCAUGAUUGUGAGCAACUUCCAGGAAAUUUCCACCACAGAAGGGUGGAAAGCGAUGCAGCAGAGCCACCCUGUGCUCGAAAAGGAACUUCUUGAUUCCAUGGUUGAUGUAGAAAAUAGGCAAAAGGAGAGAAUUAGGAAACUAAAUGAGAGGAAGAUCUAUUUGCAAUUAUACGAGGCAAUGGAGGCUCUUGUUCAUAUAUGCAGAGAUGGUUGCAGGACAAUUGGACCACAUGAUAAAGAUUUAAGAGAGACUCAGGCACCUUGCCCUUAUUCAGCAUGCAAGGGACUGGAAUUGCUGGUGCGCCAUUUCGCAAGUUGCAAGUUGAGAAUACCUGGAGGUUGCAUUCAUUGCAAGAGAAUGUGGCAGCUAUUAGAGCUACACUCUCGUCUCUGCGCUGAUUCCAACGUAUGCAGAGUUCCUCUGUGCAGGAAUUUCAAGUUUAGGAUUAAGAGCCAAAGCAAGAAGGAUGAGGUUAAGUGGCGAAUCCUAGUGAAAAAGAUUCUUAGAACAAAGAGAAUUGGAGGUUCACCAUUCUUUUCAUCAGCAAUUUCAUGCUCUUCUUGAUAUAAGGAAGAAAAAAAAAAUUGUUCUUCCAGGUGUAAAUUGGUUUUAGAAAGUAGGGACAAUGCAAUCCAGAAAAUUGUUACUUGUUUCUGCCUGGUGGAAAAUGAUCAGAGAAUCCUCUUCCUUGUCAACAUCUUGAUUCUAUGUAUAUUCAUCCAAGCUAUGAAAUAUGAAGUGUUAUGUUGUCAAGGAAAUCAUACAAAAGUGGUCCAAAUGAUCAUUGUCAUCCUUCUUUUAACUAUAAUUUGUAUUAUAAAAAUCUUCAAAUUUCAAUUUCAAUAUCAUUAAAAUUCUUGCUCUU
rnacentral:misc_RNA from 1 species